UACGAAGGGGGCUAGCGUUGCUCGGAAUUACUGGGCGUAAAGCGCACGUAGGCGGCUUCUUAAGUCGGUGGUGAAAUCCUGGAGCUCAACUCCAGAACUGCCUUCGAUACUGGGAAGCUCGAGUCCGGGAGAGGUGAGUGGAACUGCGAGUGUAGAGGUGAAAUACGUAGAUAUUCGCAAGAACACCAGUGGCGAAGGCGGCUCACUGGCCCGGUACUGACGCUGAGGUGCGAAAGCGUGGGGAGCAAACAGG
rnacentral:rRNA from 1 species